UACGGAGGGAGCUAGCGUUGUUCGGAAUUACUGGGCGUAAAGCGCACGUAGGCGGCUUUUUAAGUCAGGGGUGAAAUCCCGGGGCUCAACCCCGGAACUGCCCUUGAAACUGGAGAGCUAGAAUCUUGGAGAGGCGAGUGGAAUUCCGAGUGUAGAGGUGAAAUUCGUAGAUAUCCGGAAGAACACCAGUGGCGAAGGCGACUCGCUGGACAAGUAUUGACGCUGAGGUGCGAAAGCGUGGGGAGCAAACAGG
rnacentral:rRNA from 1 species